rnacentral:rRNA from 1 species
UACGUAGGGUGCGAGCGUUGUCCGGAAUUAUUGGGCGUAAAGAGCUUGUAGGCGGUUUGUCGCGUCUGCUGUGAAAAUCCGGGGCUCAACCCCGGACUUGCAGUGGGUACGGGCAGACUAGAGUAUGGCAGGGGAGACUGGAAUUCCUGGUGUAGCGGUGAAAUGCGCAGAUAUCAGGAGGAACACCGGUGGCGAAGGCGGGUCUCUGGGCCAAAACUGACGCUGAGGAGCGAAAGCGUGGGGAGCGAACAGG